GAGUUUGAUCCUGGCUCAGGAUGAACGCUGGCGGCGUGGAUAAGGCACGCAAGUCGAACGGACUUUAUCUUUCCGGAGAUGAGAUUAUAUCAAGUCAAAGGUCGUUUAAAGUUAGUGGCGAACGAGGUAGUAAUACAUAGGAACUUCCCCCUAAGUUGUGAAUAACCCAGCGAAAGUUGGACUAAUACACAAUAUGUCUCCGGACGAAAGUUUUUCGCUUAGGGAAAGGCCUGUGAAGUAUCAGCUAGUUGGCGGUGUAAAGGACCACCAAGGCUAUGACGCUUAGGGGAGCUGAGAGGCUGACCCCCACCGAUGGGACUGAGACACGGCCCAUACACCUACGGGUGGCUGCAGUCGAGAAUCUUCCGCAAUGGACGAAAGUCUGACGGAGCGACGCCGCGUGAUUGAUGAAGCUCUUCGGAGUGUAAAGAUCUUUUAUGAGGGAAGAAGUUUAUUGACGGUACCUCAGGAAUAAGGGGCUCCUAAUCUCGUGCCAGCAGGAGCGGUAAUACGAGAGCCCCGAGCGUUAUCCGGAAUUAUUGGGCGUAAAGGGUGCGUAGGUGGUUGUAUUAGUCGUUUGUUAAAUCUCUGGGCUUAACCCAAAGACCGCGAACGAAACGGUACAACUAGAGAAUGUGAAAGGUAUAGGGAACUCAUGGUGUAGGGGUGAAAUCCGUUGAUAUCAUGGGGAACACCAAAAGCGAAGGCACUAUACUGGCACAUAUCUGACACUCAAGCACGAAAGCAUGGGUAGCGAAUGGGAUUAGAUACCCCAGUAGUCCAUGCCCUAAACGAUGAUCUCUAGUUUUUCGAAGUAUCGACCCUUUGAGAAACGUAGCUAACGCGUUAAGAGAUCCGCCUGGGAACUACGGCCGCAAGGCUAAAACUCAAAGGAAUAGACGGGGACUUGCACAAGCAGUGGAUUAUGUGGUUUAAUUCGACGAUAAACGAAGAACCUUACCAAGGUUAGAAAUCAACGUGAAAGCUCUAAGAAACUAGAGCCCUCGCAAGACUAGUUGACAGGUGAUGCAUGGCCGUCGUCAGUUCGUGGUUUGAAUUGUUCCCUUAAGUGGGGUAACGAACGCAACCCUCGUCGUGUGUUAUAAGUGUCACACGAGACUGCCCCAACCAAAGUUUUUAAAUUAAUUUUUGAAAGUUUUGGUUGGGGAGGAAGGAGAGGAUGACGCCAGGUCAGCAUGUCCCUUGAUACCUUGGGCUACACACAUAAUACAAUCGCAAUUACAACGGGCAGCGACGGGGUAACCCUGAGCGAAUCCUAAGAAAAAUUGCGCCAGUUCGGAUUGGGGGCUGCAACUCGACCCCAUGAAGCCGGAAUUGCUAGUAAUCGCGGGUCAGACAUACCGCGGUGAAUACGUUCUCAAGUCUUGUACUCACCGCCCGUCAAUUCAAGGGAGCCGGGAAUACUCGAAAUCUCUCCAGAAGGAGGGCCUACAGUAAGCUCGGUGACAGGGAAUAAGUCGUAACAAGGUAACC
rnacentral:rRNA from 1 species